GAAUUGUAUUUUGCCCAAUGCAACUAGCUUUUGGUUAGUAUUUGGUCAAUAUAACUGAUUCUACUCUUUAUUUUCAUCAGCUUCAUGUUUUAUUCUAGUUGCAUUACUUAUAAUGUAAAAGUCACAUUUUUAAAAUCCAAGCUGAGAAUUUUCUGGUAACAAAUGAUACAGAAUACGUAUGUUUUUGGUAAAAUAAAAACAAAACAAAACAAAAACUCAUUCUAUAUAUUUCACAUCCUCCUGAACAAGACAAAAAGGAAAUUUGACUUAGUAUUAACCUGGGAAUCUGGUCAGAAAUAAUAUUGCUUCCUCUGAAACAGUAAUGCUAAAGGGGAAGAAAAAAAGAAUAAGGAAAAGAGACAAGAGAAUUCUACAGAGUUUAAACAACCUAAUGUAACGUUGAGAUUCAGAGGGGAAAAUGAGCAUCUGUGACAGCUGACUAGAUCCUUGUGUACUUUGAUAGGAAAUAAGUAACAUAUGAUACCCAUUCAGUUAGGGAAUUCUGUGUUCAGUUUUCUUAUUAAACACUGUAAUCACAGAUCUUCCCGUAUUGAAAGUAAACAUUCUUUAAUAUUAUAAUCAAAAGCUUGAAUAUGUUUUGCUGAAAACACUCUAAAGGGGUAAGUGUAAGAGAACAAAAGGAAACAUUUGAUGUCCCUAAAACACAGUCUUUGGGGAUAAGAAACACACGGUCCCUAAACUGAUGGUGGAGGAAGAACAAUACUCAGCAGGGGAAAGGAGAGGCUUUUUAAUAAGUGUGGCUCUGGAUCUCCUUAAUCAAAGAAGACAUGCUCACAGCAUUCAGAUACAGAGGAUUGCGCUAGUAAUGGACUUUUGUUCAUGGUAUGCCACCAUCAUUUUCCAAGUUCCACUUUCAUUUCCUUAUCCAAAGGUAACAUUUUCAGAGAACUGCACUCCUCAGCAAGACAAGGCUUUCUUGUCUAGCUCCUUGUGUUCCAGAGAGGAAGAAAGCCUAUGCUUCAUUCUGCUCUCAGCAGUGAGAGAGGAUUCCAUCUUCUUUCUUUUCUCACCUCAACCAUCCCGGCAAGGGGUUUAG
rnacentral:lncRNA from 1 species